rnacentral:pre_miRNA from 1 species
GUAGUAUUCCCUCCGUCCCAAAAUUCUUGUCUUACAUUUGUUUAGAUACGGAUGUAUCUAACACUAAANCUAAAAUGUAACUAGAUACAUCCGUAUUUAGACAAAUUUAAGACAAGAAUUUUGGGAUGGAGGGAGUACAAA